rnacentral:pre_miRNA from 1 species
UAAAUACUCGCUCCGUCCCAAAAAUCUUGUCCUACAUUUGUGUAGAUAUGAAUGUAUCUAGUCACAUUUUAGUAUUUAGAUACAUCUAUUUGUAGACAAAUCUAAGACAAGAAUUUUGGGACGGAGGGAGUAGGAG